rnacentral:lncRNA from 1 species
ACACAAGCUAUCGCUGACUGCCGGUGCAUGUUGGAAAUGGGCCACAGGGCUGGGCAUGAUAUGAGCUGCCUGGACAUUGGAGGGGGCUUCCCCGGAAUGGAGGGCUCCGGGCCCAAGUUUGAGGAGGGAUAAUUCUAAUGCCUACCUGCAGGGUGCCUCGGGGAUGAAAGGACUGAUGCAGUUGGCGAGAGUGAUCAGUGCUGCCCUGGCCCAGGACCUCCCUGAGGAGCGUGGUGUCAAGGUCAUCGCAGAGCCUGGCUGCUUCUAUGUGGAGUCUGUCUGCAUGGCCGCUGUCAACAUCAUUGCCAAGAGGGCUGUGCUGGAGCCCGGUGGGUGGGCCAGGAUGGCACUGGGUGGGGAUGCCACUGUCCAGGUGUCCCCAGGCCCUGGAGGAGAGGAAGGGCAGAGGGUUGGGCUCUGUCCCAGGAGCUGGGGGUCAGAGUAGUGACUGAGCACUCCCCAGGAGGCAGCCGGAAGCUGGUGUAUUAUCUCAAAGAUGGCCACUAUGGCUCCUUCCGCCUCUGCUACCGAGAGCCUGUCCCAAGGGUUCCCAUCGUGGUGAAGGUAAGGGGGCCACUCCAGCCCCGAGUCUAGUCCCUUACCUUGAGGUGCCUUGUGCCUCCCCUACUGGGAACAGUGGCUGUGCUGGACCCCAGAGGCAGGUCCUGGCCUGCUGCUUAGAACACAUGUGGACACGUACAUGAUGUGUGCUCACAGAUCAGAGCGUGUGCAGCAGCUGGAUAUGUAGGCCUCCUCAGGCAAAGGGGCGAUCACCAGAACACAAAGGCGUGGGUUGUUUUCCAAAAUAUUGAAGUUCUUCUCCCUGGUGGCUUAAGAGCCAUUCCUUCUUCCUGGUGGUUAAAGAGCUAUUCCCCCGAGUCCACCAGGGGCCUCCCUGCCGACACUCUUGCUGCUCAGUCCCUCCCACGAUCUGGCAACAAAGCUUCAAUACCUGACCCUGUAGGGCCAACAGGAUCUUCCUCCAGCUCUGCAGCAGUUGUCUCCUAAUGUGAUGGGUUGGUGUCCGGGCCACACUGCUUUGUAAAUAUCUUGACUGUUUCUCCCGGCCAGUGAACGUCUUGGUGUGUGCACACAUUUGGUCAUGUAUGUGACGUGUGUUUGCAUGCAUGUGCGAGUGUGUACGUGUGUGAAGUGUUUCUGGGUGUGUGUCUUCGUGUGUGUAUUUGCCUCUCUUCUCAUCGGAAGGAGUGAGUUCUGGAUGUGGAGGAACCAGUAGGAGACCCUGUGUUUGUUUGGUUCCCACAAUAGUUUUCAAUUUUAGUUGCCCAUAUUAAAAAAUCUAGACAUAUUUCAUAAAAGCCUGGAUUUUCUCAGCUCCUCUCAAACAUUUGAGAGAUCUGAUGAUACGUGGCCUGCAGAACAACAAGGCAACAAAUAAUUCAACAAAUUAGUCUAGCAUGUCAGGCACUGUGAUCUGCUGGAACGGGACUUCCUCAGUGGCUUUCCCCUUUGGACAGACAUUGACUUUCCAGUUUGUUGUAAGACUUACCUGGCCCAUUUCACUCAUUUGUGUUACCUGCUUGACCUCUAGGUAAUUGAGUUUUCAACUGCUGCCUUAUAGCAAUUAUUGAAGACAACAGCCCCACUUACAGAGGAGGAAUCUGAGCCCUUAC